AUUGAACGCUGGCGGCAGGCCUAACACAUGCAAGUCGAGCGAGCGGCGGACGGGUGAGUAAUGUAUGGGGACUGCCCGAUAGAGGGGGAUAAAUACUGGAAACGGUAGCUCAAAUCGCAUACUACAGGAGAACCCCUAUGGGAUUAGCUAGUUGGGGGGGUAAUGGCUCACCUAGGCGACGAUCCCUAGCUGGUCUGAGAGGAUGAUCAGCCACACUGGGACUGAGACACGGCCCAGACUCCUACGGAGGCAGCAGUGGGGAAUAUUGCACAAUGGGCGCAAGCCUGAUGCAGCCAUGCCGCGUGUAUGAAGAAGGCCCUAGGGUUGUAAAGUACUUUCAGUCGGGAGGCGUUACCGACAGAAGAAGCACCGGCUAACUCCGUGCCAGCAGCCGCGGUAAUAC
rnacentral:rRNA from 1 species